UUUUUGUGUAAAAUCACCAGUAUAUAAGUAUCUAAUUCUGAACCAAGAUUAUAGUCUGAGUUGACAUCAUCCAUCGUUAUCACUUCUUUAUCUCAAUCGACAAUCAAAAUGCCAGCUCCCUGUGAACCGUGCAAAGAUAGCUGCAAAGAUGCCGCUGACUGCAAGGAUAAUUGCAGCACUGACAAGUGUGGUUCGGGUGACUGCUCCACUGCUAGUAGUGGCUGCUGUUAAUUUGUGCUAGCAAUUCACCGAAUUGAUUUACCCGUUUGAAGAACUCAAAUAUUGUAGUUUGUAAAUAUGAUUGCAAUAAAUUUUUGGUGCUUCUA